AAACCUCAACCUAGACUUGGGUUUUGUUACCCAUAUCUAGAGUUGGACUUGGGCAUUUGUUGGUGCAAACCGACUUGCCUUAAAUGUAUUAGCAGCCCUUCUUCAUGAGCGGUUUGACUUGGCGUUAUAAGCUUUCGCUGAGGAUCAUCUUCGGAUGGACCGCUCUUGUUGAUACAACUGCUCUCUAAAUGACUGUUCAGCCUUGCUUUCAUCGGCAUCUGGACAUAUUUUGAC
rnacentral:misc_RNA from 1 species